UAAUCAGACUAUAGCAUGCGAUGCUGUGGCUGUACUAUUUGUUUUGCUUGUUUCUUGGCUGAGAAGGUGUGUAUAUACUUGAGAAAGAAUGCAUAGGUGUGUACACAGACGCACACCUAUGGGUACAUAUGUUUGCACUCACCCUCUUUGAAGUUCUGGUUGUUUGGAGAAACGUACACCCUUGUCUUUGUUUCAGAAAAACCCCAGAGAUAGCACAGCUGAAAGCACUGUGAAAUCUUGCAUUCUUGUCCUAGCUGCUGCCAGAAAAAACAAGCCUUUUAUACUUGAGGAGGCUCGAGAUGUUUUCUUGCCAGUUGCGAGUCCUACUUCUCCGAGUAAAAGAGAGGAAGUAAUGUCUGUGAAACAAGCUUUUUUUUUUCUGACAGACAGCAUGCAGGCAGCUCUCCUGGGCUCUGCCAAUCUGUAAGUAAUUAAAGUUCAUUUGUUGGCAAGGAGUCAUCUCUCGGACUAAUAAGGAAAAUCAAAAUAGGUGGUGCAGUGGCUAUCUCCAGAGGAGAGAGUUUUGAGUGCAAAGUAAAAUGGGGCUGGAGAAGAAACUGGGUUAUAUGCCUCUGAACAAACCGUCUCCCUUCAGAAUAAGAUUAAUUUGAAAUCACCGUUCUAGUUCUUGUAUUGAAGAUGGUUUAAUGCACCCAGAGCUAUUUGGCCCUGAGGAUGAAUUCCUACAAUUAAGUGUUUAUGAUUGAAAGUGCUGCCAUGGAAAGCAGACAGAUGAAUAUCAUUUCAGGAGUACUGCGAAUCAUUAAGAGAGUAGUAGAACCUUUUCCUGGGCUCGAGCCACUUUUAAACUUCAGGCUAAGGCUAUUGUGGACUUCAGCGUAAGGCCUGACGUGUUGCUACACCUAGGGGUUUGAAUAACAAGGUAGUCGAUGGGCAUCAAUGCGUUCUUAUGAUUUUAAACUUCUUAACAGUCAGUGAAAAUAUUCAGCCUGUGGCAUGUGUGUAUGGUGCUCACCUCAAAUAUGUUUUCCAGAUCGGUGCAUUCAGUGUUAGUGUCGGGAAAUGAACCUGACCUGCCUCCGAUGCUGCUUUUGGCUGGCGACCGAGGUGUCUGCUUUCCCUGCCGCCUCACGGGGAGGCUGGGCACGGAGCAUCCCACAGCCCGACCAGGCUGCGAGGAGACCUGCUGGCUGCCAGCUGCCGACUUGUGCCUGUCCUCUGCCUCGGGAAGGCUCCAGGCAUCUCGACUGACAUGUUAGGAGCCACCUGAAGCACAGGCCAGACGGACAGACCGGCGUCUGGGGGCUCAGCAGCGUUACCAGCAGGCUGCUCUUCCUCCUUGCGGGAAGCACACGGGUCCGCAGCUGUCCUCCCCUGGCCGCCGCCGGCCCGUUCCCAGGAGGGCUGCCCCUCCACGAGCAGCUUUGGUGGCCAGAGCAGUGGCAGGCAAAAUCGGACGGGCUGCUUGAAGCAGUUUCUGGCUCCCCUCACCCUGUACCUGAGCCACCCGUGCUGCCUGCCGGCAGCAGGGACGGGAGAUUAACGCUCGCAUCUCCCCCCGAGCAGCUCCAGCUCUCGGUGCGAGGUGUGGGCACCAUCCCCAGCUGCCGCGGGCUCAGCGCUGGGUCCCUGGGGAGGGGGCACAGGGGGCUCAUUCUGCCCCAGGGCUGGGGGCGAGGGCAGCCGCCCCGCCAUCUGACUCCAAUCCCGAGCCGUAUGUGACUCGAAGUCCUUAGAUGCCCUCUGCUGCCAUGCACCAGAAUUAACAGAUGGCUCUGCGUAACCAGACUCAGAUUUGUGGAGCUUCGUUAUUAUCUCCGUUUUUGUAAACGAAUGGGGGAGGGGAAAUAAAAUCCGGAAUUAUCACAGAACAGGCAAAGCUUUGUCAAGUUUAGCUUCAGGCUGGGAGUCUCUUCUGCCUUUCAGUGCCACUGUCCUGAACUUUAAAAUUUUAGCAUUACUUUUAGCUUUCUCUUCAGAGCUCACUUCUCUGAUAACUGAUAGAUAAGCAGGUCCCUCUGGGAAUUAACUUGGCCCAGAGAGACGCCCAGCAGAGUUUUUCCCCGUCAUUUCAGGCCCCAUCGUGCCAAAUGGAAGGAGGCUGCAAAACCUGCCGCUGUGGUCAGGCUUUGUUCGGGCAGGGGCUAAGGGGUGGUUCGGCUUCUGGCUGCCUCUUUUGCAUGAGACAGGCCAGCAUGCAGGAGUCUGCGUCUAUAUGGAACAAGAGUGAUGUUUCUGCCCCACCUACUUGCCAGUGUUAGGACAGUUUUUGUGUGCUGGCAGGCACACAGCAAUCCCAAAUCGAACACAGCUAAUCCCGGAGGGAAUCCCCCAACAGGCUCCAAGAGUAGAGUAGUUUUGCCGUGCAUGUGCUUUCGCUGUCUUUGUUACACCAGCUCCCGUUCCCUCCCCUGAGGAAAACCCAGGCGAGCACUUCUAAUUCCCCAGCCCGGUUCCUGACACAGAUGUGAGCGAGCAGGUUUGGUCUGUAUGAAGUCUGCAGCCCCCGUUUGUGCACGUUUCUGAAGCUGCCUUACUUCUCCCGAGGCCAGCCUGUUUGCUGUAGGGGGCUGGCAGCGGCACGCAGGCGGCACGGCGGAGCAGCGGCUGCUCUCCGGUGGGACAGAACAGGAGGGGAUGGGAUGGACGGGAUGGGACGGGACGGGACGGGACGGGAUGGGAUGGGACACACGACCGCAGGACCCGCUGCAGGUGGGCGAGGGGUGUGGGGGGGAUGUGCAGGAUCCUCUGCCAGGCUGGCGGAAAGAGAAAGCCAGCGUGCAGCGGCAGGGCGAGCUCUCGCGCUACGCUCCCUUUUCCCUCCCGCACUCCCCUUUUAGCCACCCCGGUGCAGAAUAUGCUGCCUACAUUGUUCAGGAGAUUUCUUUUUUCUUUUUCUUUUUUUUUUUUUUUCUUUUUCUUUUUCUUUUUCUUUUUUUCUUUUUCCAGAACACAAUCUCAAGCUCACAGAAGUCCGCAGCAAAGUCUUGCUGUGAAUGGGCUCUUUGUUCCGUGAGACUGUUUCUGAAGACUCCUGGCUCUCUGUUCGUCUUUGCAUACGAGGCUGAAGCACAAAAUUGUCCAUAUGCUUUUGUUUUCAGCACGUUCGCGUCCUCAUAACUUCCCCUUUCUCACAGAAACGUGUGAAGCUCUCUGGUAGGUGUGCUGUAUAUCGUCACGGUGGAAAACCUGCGAAGCUGUGCUGAUUUAUACCACCUGACAGCACUCUCCGUAGCGUGUAUUUUUGCUAAAUCCAUGUUUUUCCAAUUUCUUCAUGCUCUUGCAGUGGCAGUUUUUUUCUAUCCAUCAGGGAGUGGGAUCCUGCAUCCAGAGUAUGUAAAUAACAGCUGUUUCCACUCAAUUUGCAUUUAUAUACUUAACACUUCAAAAUAGAUUAUUUCUAGAAGCUUUCACAAUCUGGUCACAAUUCCUACUUAGUCAGAGGUACUGGGGAGAUGUUAAUGAAACCCCUCUGGACUAGCUGAGGAAAAAAAAAGAUAUAGCUGCAACAAAGAAAUUCCCCAGGCAGGAUGGAUCAGUUACGCCUCUGAUGGUUGUACUUCAACAAGGAAAGGAAGGAUCUCUUUCCAUCUCCUUGGGCAUCUUCAGCAUCAUUUCUAAGCAGGUGAUGGUGUGCCAGAAGAAAAAUACUUUUAUGUUUACUUCAGUCCCAGCUGGGGCAUCUCUGGACUGGAUCGGAUGAUGCUGAAGGCUCGAGUUGUUUGGAGAGAACUACGAUUAUGUGUGUGAGUUGUUGCUUUUGCAUGUCUCGACAGGCCUGUACCAGAGCCAUUUAAACUAAGUAGGAAGAACAAAGACAAUCUGAGCCCAGGUUGUCUGUAAAAACAACAUGGGUUCCAGCUACCUGGUUUCAGAGGGCAUGUUUGUGUUUCUAAAUGUACAAAACUUCCUGAUACCAGGAGGACUGACUUAUAUUUGUGAUGGCUGGGGCUAGUUCCCUCUAGAGAGGACUCCCACUUCCACACCCCUCCACACUCCUUGGGCUCCCCGUGGUGCCUCCACAGACCCAGCAAGUAAUUAUGAUUUUUUGUGUAUCUUUUCAGUUCAAAGCAUCUGAAAUGAUGUGCAGCUGUCCUGUGGCCUGCUAUAACGGUGCUUUCCUAGAGUGAAAGCUAAGGUAGGUAGUGUAUGUUCUGGGAUGUGGUUAGGCUUGAGGGUGCACGGCCCGCUUGGGUAGCCUGGAAGACAGCACAGAGUGGAGUGAAACAAGACGUGGCCUUGGGACUCUCCCUGCAAGGGUGUGCGGCCUUAAAGAGGGCUGAAAGAGAACUGGGGAAGAAGUGAGGGUGAGCAGUGGCACAGAGCUUGACCCGCAGCCCACGGCAGUAAGGACGUGCUCAGAGGGGCCCAAGGUAUCGGCCUGCUGCACUGUGCCUUUACUCUGGUAAAGGAAAGGGAGUUUUAUAAAGAUACAAGGCAUUAUUGGAAAAUGACAAGUGAAUUCAUACUCAAAGUCAGGAUUAAAAAUUACAAAAUAACCAAAAAUAUGAAAAGAGAUGUGAACCUUUACAAUACUGUAUACUAGCAUAAACAAAUUGUAAAAUAAUUAGAUUUCAAGGAAAAUUUUCUCUGCCAUUAGCUUAUUUUUUUAACUGAAAGCCUCAAAGCAUCUUAACUGAAGUAGGAGUUGAAGAGCAGUGCUGCAGCACAGCUCUUUUCCAGUACAACUCCUACAGAUCCUGACCAGAAAAAUGCGUGUGCUGAAUAGAAACAUUACAUUUACUUGAAUAUUUGAGUAAUGAGAAAGGCUAGCAGUGUUUAAGAAGCACUAGUCUUUACAUGAAACUGUAAAGCUCUGCUUUAGUGAGUAGGAAAUAUGUCUGUACAGCAGGGCUUUGCUUUAAUGGUUUAGACUUUUACUUAGGCUUCUAUUCUACAGGAUAAUGGCUUAAUAGAGUAGCCUAAUCUAACACAGCCACUUUUCAUUGUUCAUUUGAAUUUUCUGUGAUACUUACAUGGUUAAACUUCUAUUAGUUUUGGCAGAAGAGAUUACAAAAAUCAGCUCGUCCAGAAUUCUUUUUCUAUGACAUCUCAUUUCGCUGGUAGAAAGAUUCUUUCAUUGAGGAAUUGUAAACUUUGGUAGCAGUCAAAACUGGCAUCGUUUAAAAUAGUAAACUGGGUCUGAUCCAAGACCGUUGUUUCAUCUUGACAAGCAAUAAAGCUGAGUGUAAGCACAA